AGAGAGAGAGAGAGAGAUAGAGAGAGAGUUUAGUGAGAAAGUGGUGAGGCUGUCGGCGCAGAGAGUAACUAACAGAGAGAGAAAAGGAGAGAGGAUGUUGAGAAAUGAAGGUCUGGGCACAGCAGCUGAAGGGAAGGAGCUAGAAGAAAAGAC